AUUGAACGCUGGCGGCAUGCUUUACACAUGCAAGUCGAACGGCAGCGCGGGCUUCGUCCUGGCGGCGAGUGGCGAACGGGUGAGUAAUACAUCGGAACGUGCCCAGUAGUGGGGGAUAGCUCGGCGAAAGCCGGAUUAAUACCGCAUACGACCUGAGGGUGAAAGCGGGGGAUCUUCGGACCUCGCGCUAUUGGAGCUGCCGAUGGCAGAUUAGCUAGUUGGUGGGGUAAAGGCCUACCAAGGCGACGAUCUGUAGCUGGUCUGAGAGGACGACCAGCCACACUGGGACUGAGACACGGCCCAGACUCCUACGGGAGGCAGCAGUGGGGAAUUUUGGACAAUGGGCGAAAGCCUGAUCCAGCAAUGCCGCGUGUGUGAUGAAGGCCUUCGGGUUGUAAAGCACUUUUGGCGGGAACGAAAAGGAAUGUGCCAAUACCACGGUUCGAUGACGGUACCCGAAGAAUAAGCACCGGCUAACUACGUG
rnacentral:rRNA from 1 species